AAUGAACGUUGGCGGCGUGGAUUAGGCAUGCAAGUCGAGCGGAAAGGCCCGCAAGGGCACUCGAGCGGCGUAAGGGACAGUAAUGUGUAGGUACGUACCCCUGGGUCUAGGAUAGCUGCGGGAAACUGCAAUUAAUACUAGAUGAUGUCUUCGGACCAAAGGUGUGAUUCCACCCAGGGAGCGGCCUGCAUCCUAUUAGCUAGUUGGUGAGGUGACGGCUCACCAAGGCGAAGAUGGGUAGCAGGUGUGAGAGCACGACCUGCGUCACUGGGACUGAGACACUGCCCAGACACCUACGGGUGGCUGCAGUCGAGAAUCUUCGGCAAUGGGCGAAAGCCUGACCGAGCGACGCCGCGUGCGGGAUGAAGGCCUUCGGGUUGUAAACCGCUGUCGGAGGGGAUGAAAUGCCGAUGGGUACUCCCAACGGCUUGACUGAUCCUCGGAGGAAGGGUGGGCUAAGUUCGUG
rnacentral:rRNA from 1 species